rnacentral:lncRNA from 1 species
UCAGUUUAUUGCAUCAUGAGAUCCGAAGUACAGACCUAACUCGAUGUCUUUUAAUGCUUCCAUAUAUAGGCUAGCCUGCAUGAAUUCUAGCUUAGUCCUGGGACUAAAACCACACUCAGCUGCCUAGCUACCUAAAACCGAUCGAAUUAGUAGUACUGCUACAAGCUCUUCGCCACCUACUGAGCCACCACGAGCAGCAGAUAGCAUAACACACACCAGUUUCAUCAGAACGGUGAGCGCAGUCAUAGUCGUCGUCGUCGUCGUCGUCUGUCUCCGCCAUCAUUCCUCGCGCGCUGCGCCACCGGCAAGGCGCGGCGUAAACGGCGCCCGAGGAGGAUGCAAUGCUGCCGCCCUGAACGAGGUAGCUGGCCGCCGAGACUGGUGCUAUGGCAAUUUGCAAGUGUGUGUGGGCAAGUGAACUACUACCAAAUUAAUUGACGCCGCGCAGAAAGCUCUUGCUUGCUCGAGGUAGAAGAAGAUGCUCCUGCACUAGUAGAGAAUUGAGCUUUAUGUUGGAUAUAUAAGCACUUUUAGUUUUAACUUAAUCCAGAAAUAAAUCAUGAAUAUGAUGAACAAGCAGCAAGUUAAACUAGACAUGUCUACGCAAGAUCUAGACAAGUCUAUCAUUGCAAAUAGAAUCAGACAUUCUACCAUACUAUCCAGUGCUAUCAGACUGCAACAGAUCAUAAUAGCUAGUAUGGAAGACAUAAUGUGAGUUAAGAGAACGUACGUUUCUUUCUUGAUGAAAACCGGCUCCUGGACGACUACCGGAUACAGCAGGCGACGACGAUCAGCAGCCUGACGUUGUUCGCGACGACGAGUGAGGCCCGAGCGACGAAGAGGUAGACGAGCCGUGGUGAAGGAGUCGACGAAGAACUUGACGAAGCGGAGGAAGCGAUCGAGCAGUCGCGCAGAGUGCUUCCCAAAAACCUUAUUCGCCCUCUCCCGGUGCAGGAUCGCUGAAGACGACGGUUCCGGAGACCUGCUCUCCCAAUCGCCGGUGCACGCCGACAAUCGGGAUGGAGUAGACUACGGUGGCGGCGCAGCAGCGAGAGGAGGUAAAAACCCUAGCUCGAAUAGAUCUGUUUUUGGUAGAGGCCGGUAGGUCGCAUAUAUAGGAGAGCCCACGACUUAACGACCAAGUAACCAAAAAAUAAAACGGCAAAAGGAAGCCGCGCCCCCGCAAGGCGAGGGGCUGGAUUUCGGCGGACCAUUCACGUAGGUGCCGCACGCCCGCGCCCUUCGCCCGGCCCGGCCCGGCGUGGUGAGGUGAGGUGAGGCGAGGCGAGGCGAGGCGAGGCGAGGCGAGGCGAGGCGAGGCGAGGCGAGGCGAGGCGAGCGAGCGCGCGCGUGUGGAGCUCUCCUUCCCUCCCCACACACAUAGCUUGGAGGAGUGGAGACAACUUCUAUAUUUAAGUUGGUCAUCCCUCCCCUCCACUAGCAAUGUGGGAUUAAAGACUUGCACCACUCCACCUCUUGCCCACAUGGGCCUUUGAGAUUUAUUUGAAAUUCUGAAAUUACUUAUGGGCUAGGCCCAUUAUUUCAACAAUCCCCCACCAGAUCUCAAAUGCCCAUCAGAGAUUUUGCCUGUUUCUCACUGUUGUUUAUAUACUAGUGUUUCGGCGAGGACUGUUAAGUUGAACUCUCACCUAGAGCUUCAAGCUACAUUCAUCCACAACUUGAACAAUGGACAAAGCCUUGAAUUGCAAGUUUUGUGCGGACAAGUUUCACUCAAAGUCGGGACUAGUACCUGGCUGCCUGUAGCCUACCCCGCGGGUGGGGCAUAUAGGUCGUACCCCCCUGGUCUCUUCAUGACCUUAAUAGAGAUCACCCAAGUCUCACAGACUGCGAUCUUACAACAGUCGGGCUCAUAUAGGUAUAUUUUUCCAAGAUGUUCUGCAGGGCAACAUCUUUGCUAAUUAAAGCCAACAAAAUAUAUUAAGGCAGUAGCCAGCCUGCCAUGCAGUGGUUUGAGAGUGUUGCAUCAUUUCUCGAGUGGGUUAGUAGGAUACUCUCAUGCUAUCCCAUGGCUUGUUCUUCCUAGAUCCUACUUCACGGGAUCUCCGAUCACAUAGGUUGGGUUACCACCAUGGUGUAGCUCAUAUGGGUCUCAUACCCAUCUCCUUUGAUGCAUUGUCUAUCACAUUACGUGACAGCCCUUAGUGAACUGAUCUGCCAAGUUCUUAUCAGUUGAGAUGUAAUCCACUGAUAUUACUCCGGAGUUUCUCAUUUUCCUGACAGAUUUCAGACGUCUCUUAACGUGUCUUGAUAACUUCAUAUUGUCCUUAGAAUUGUUCACUUUGACAAUCACCGUUUGAUUGUCACAAUUCAUAAGUAUUGCCGGCAUAGGUUUCUCGACAAUAGGCAAGUCCAUCAAGAGUUCACGUAGCCAAUCAGCCUCAACUGUGGCUGUAUCUAAUGCUGCAAGUUCUGCUUCCAUGGUAGACCUCGUUAAGAUAGUCUGUUUGGAUGACCUCCAUGAAACAGCACCACCACCAAGAGUGAAGACGUAUCCACUUGUGGCAUACAGUUCAUCAGCACCAGAUAUCCAAUUUGAAUCACUAUAGCCUUCCAGCACCACAGGAUACCUGGAGUAGUGAAUUCCGUAAUCCAUAGUACCAACUAAAUAGCGCAUGACUCCCUCAAGCGCACGCCAAUGAUCAUCUCCCAGAUUAGAGGUAAACCGGCUCAGUUUGCAAACAGCAUAUGAGAUGUCAGGCCUAGUAGCACUGGCUAAAUACAUAAAUGAUCCAAUAAUCUGAGAGUAUCUUAAUUGGUCUCUACCAAUUCUCUUGUUUUUCCGAAGUAUCAAGCUCGGAUCAUAAGGUGUGGGAGAAGGCUUACUGUCCUUAAAGCCAAACCGGCUCAAGACCUUUUCCACAUAAUGAGAUUGCGUGAGAGUAAUCCCAUUCUCUCCUUUGAUCAACUUGAUAUUCAGAAUUACAUCAGCCUCUCCCAGAUCUUUCAUGUCGAAAUUUUGGCACAGAAAUAACUUGACCUCUUUGAUCACGUCAAGAUUUGUACCAAAGAUUAGUAUGUCAUCGACAUACAAGCACAAUAUAACUCCCUCACCCCCACCAUGGCGGUAGUACACACAUCUAUCAGCCUCAUUGACAGAAAAGCCUGCUGAUAUGAGUGUAGUAUCAAAUUUCUCAUGCCACUGCUUAGGUGCUUGUUUCAGGCCAUACAAAGAUUUCAGCAAUUUACACACCUUGUUCUCUUGACCCUUUAUUACAAAUCCAUCAGGCUGAUUCAUAUAAAUUUCCUCAUCCAACUCUCCAUUAAGGAAAGUUGUCUUAACAUCCAUCUGAUGGACGAGAAGACCAUGUGAGGCAGCAAGGGAAAGUAAUACUCGAAUACUGGUCAAUCUCGCAACAGGUGAGUAAGUGUCGAAGAAAUCUUCGCCUUCUUUCUAGGUAUAACCCUUAGCCACAAGUCGAGCCUUGUACUUAUCAAUAGUACCAUCAGGCCUAAGCUUCUUCUUGAACACCCACUUGCAACCCACAGGUUUACAACCAUACGGUCGAUCAACAACCUCCCAAGUUCCAUUAGAAAGAAUAGAGUCCAUCUCACUAUGGAUAGCUUCUUUCCAAUCAUUUGCAUCUUGCCUCUGAAAUGGUCUUAGGAGUAUCAUCUACGAGAUAGACAGUGAAAUCAUCACCAAAGGACUUUGUAGUUCUUUGUCUCUUGCUCCUCUUAGGAGCUUCACUGUUAACCUCCUCAUGAACUGGCUCAAGUGUUUGUUCAGCAUGAUCAGGAAGCACAAUAGGUUCAGGAGUUGUCUCAGCAAUCAUAUCAGAAGAUAGUCUAGACAUACUAUGCAAUUGUUUCAUAGGAAAUAUAUUCUCAAAGAAAGUAACAUCACGAGACUCCAUCAAGGUAUUAACAUGAACAUCAGGCACCUCUGAUUUAACCACUAAAAAUCUAUAGGCUAUGCUAUGAUGAGCAUAUCCCAAAAAGACACAAUCCACAGUUUUAGGUCCCAACUUACGUUUCUUGUUGAUUGGCACACUAACUUUGGCCAAGCAACCCCAAGUGCGUAAGUAUGAAAGUGAUGGUUUUCUUCCAAUCCAUUCUUCAUAGGGAGUUUUCUCCUUAUUCUUCAUGGGUACUUUAUUCAGGACAUGACAUGAAGUCAAUACAGCCUCCCCCCACCAUGCCUUAGAUAAACCACUGGUGUCUAACAUGGCGUUCACCAAGUCAGUCAAAGUGUGAUUCUUUCUUUCGGCAACCCCGUUUGAUUGGGGCGAAUAGGGAGGCGUCCUCUCAUGUACAAUACCAUGUUCUUCACAGAACAAGUCGAAAUCAUUAGAGAAAUACUCGCCACCACGAUCAGACCUAAUUCUCUUGAUCUUUUUCUCAAGCUGAUUCUCAACUUCAGCCUUAUAGAUUUUAAAGUAGUUAAGAGCCUCAUCUUUCAUUUUCAAUAAAUAUACAUAGCAAUAUCUAGACGCAUCAUCUAUCAAAGUCAUGAAAUAUCUUUUCCCACCUUUGGUCAACACACCAUUCAUCAGAAUGAAUGAGUUCAAGUGGUGCCAAGUGUCUCUCCUCAGCUACCUUGUGAGGUUUUCGAGGUUGUUUAGAUUGCACACAACUAUGGCACUUAGAACCUUUGACGAUGGAAAAAUUCGGAAUUAAACACAGGCUGGAAAGUCGAGACAUAGAACCAAAAUUCAGAUGACAUAAACGUGAAUGCCAAACACUAGCAUCACUCUCAUUAAUACCAUCACAAAUAUAGUUCACUGACUUAUUGCAAUAAUCUGUAAGGGAAAAGCAGAACAAGCCUCCGCACUCAUAGCCUUUACCAAUAAAUUAUCCACUCUUAGACACGACAAUUUUAUUAGACUCAAGCACUAGCUUAAAGCCAUCCCUACACAAAAGGGAGCCACUAACUAGAUUCUUCCUGAUAGAAGGGACAUGCUGCACGUUCUUCAGUUGCACGAUCUUUCCCGAAGUAAACUUCAGAUCUACCGUACCAACACCAUGAACAGAAGCAUGUGACCCAUUCCCCAUUAGGACGGAGGAAUCCCGAGCGACCUGGUAAGAUGAAAACAAGGAGGCAUCAGCACACACAUGAACAUUAGCACCAGUAUCAAGCCACCAAGUAUUGGUAGAAUGAAACACUGAAAAAACAGAAGGUAAAUUACCAUACCCACUAUUUCCAUCUCCAGCGCUGGUCACCAUGCUUACAGACUUCUGCUGUGGAGGUUUUCUUCCUUUGCGGUUUGGGCACUUCUUUGCCCAAUGGUCAGUAGAACCGCACACGAAGCAUCCCUCGUUCUCCUUGUUCUUCUUCUUCUUGAAGGUAGUGGACUGCUUAGGCUUAUUGUUCUUGCCCUUGCCCUUACCACCAUUGCCAUGGUGAUGUGAUUGGUGCACCAUAUUGGCACUGGUCUGACCCUCAACAGCUUUAGAUCGUCCAUCUUUAGCCCGAGCUUUCUCCUCAACAUCAAGAGACGCAAUCAAGUCUGAAACAGAAAUUUCUAUCCUCUUGUGUUUGAGAGAAGUGGCGAAAUCCCUCCAGGAUGGAGGUAACUUGGCAAUAAUGCCCCCAGCCACAAACUUGUCGGACACGACAAUCUUUAGCAGAUCGAGUUCCAUCACCAUGCACUGUAAUUCAUGAGCCUGAGCGACUACAGAUUUUCCGUCAACCAUCUUGUAGUCAUGAUACUGCUCAAUGAUGUACAGUUCAGUGCCAGUAUCUGAGCCACCGUAGUUGGCAGUCAGAUCAUCCCACAACUCCUUUGCGACCGUGUGAUGAAGGUACACAUCCUGCAGAUGUUCUGCAAGUGCACCAAUCACAGCGCCCAAGAAGAUUGUGUUGGCUUCCGAAUAUUCUUUCUCCUUUUCAGGAGAGAGAACCCCUUCCGGUUUGCCAUUGGAAACCCAGAACACCUUCAUGGCAGUAAGCCACAGCGUGGCUUUCACCUGCCACCUCUUGAAGUGCACGCCAGCAAACGGUGCUGGCCUCAGUGCAUCAAGAAAUCCAGCCAUAAAACUAAAGUGCCUACAAUAAGGUUUUUGGAUUGUUGGAUAUAUAAGCACUUUUAGUUUUAACUUAAUCCAGAAAUAAAUCAUGAAUAUGAUGAACAAGCAGCAGAUUAAACUAGACAUGUCUACGCAAGAUCUAGACAAGUCUAUCAUUGCAAAUAGAAUCAGACAUUCUACCAUACUAUCCAGUGCUAUCAGACUGCAACAGAUCAUAAUAGCUAGUAUGGAAGACAUAAUGUGAGUUAAGAGAACGUACGUUUCUUUCUUGAUGAAAACCGGCUCCUGGACGACUACCGGAUACAGCAGGCGACGACGAUCAGCAGCCUGACGUUGUUCGCGACGACGAGUGAGGCCCGAGCGACGAAGAGGUAGACGAGCCAUGGUGAAGGAGUCGACGAAGAACUUGACGAAGCGGAGGAAGCGAUCGAGCAGUCGCGCAGAGCGCUUCCCAAAAACCUUAUUCGCCCUCUCCCGGUGCAGGAUCGCUGAAGACGACGGUUCCGGAGACCUGCUCUCCCAAUCGCCGGUGCACGCCGACAAUCGGGAUGGAGUAGACUACGGUGGCGGCGCAGCAGCGAGAGGAGGCAAAAACCCUAGCUCGAGUAGAUCUGUUUUUGGUAGAGGCCGGUAGGUCGCAUAUAUAGGAGAGCCCACGAUUCUCACGUCGCGAUCGUGAUCUAAACCGGUUAGGAUUCCAUAUAUCAAGGCGAGGGGCUGGAUUUCGGUGGACCAUUCACGCAGGUGCCGCACGCCCGCGCCCUUCGCCCCGCCCCGCCCGCCCGGCCCGGCCCGGCCCGACGAGGCGAGGCGUGGCGUGGCGAGGCGAGGCGUGGCGAGGCGAGCGAGCGCGCGCGUGUGGAGCUCUCCUUCCCUCCCCACACACAUAGCUUGGAGGAGUGGAGACAACUUCCAUAUUUAAGUUGGUCAUCCCUCCCCUCCACUAGCAAUGUGGGACUAAAGACUUGCACCACUCCACCUCUUGCCCACAUGGGCCUUUGAGAUUUAUUUGAAAUUCUGAAAUUACUUAUGGGCUAGGCCCAUUAUUUCAACACUUUAGUCCCGGUUGGUAGAGUGCAAAUAUCCCGAAAAUCCAUCCGGGACAAAAGGUGGGGUCUUUUAUCCCGGGUCACUCAACCGGGACAAAAGAUCUCGGUUGGUAAUACCAACCGGGAUAAAACGGGUCACCACGACCGGAGCUGCAAAGAAAAAAUUCCGAGCUCCCAGGAGGCCCCCACACACGCACGUCGUAAGUCGCAAGUCACGCGAUUUUUCACGCGAAAUAUGCGCGUGCGCGCUGCGUGGGAUUCGAACCCACAACCUCUAGCCUCGCGCGUACCUUCCUUGCCAUCCCACCAACACACCACAUCUGACUGUGUAGGGGAUGCUAUCCUUUUGUAUUAACUCGUGGGGGAACCGGGAUAAAAGGGGGGUCUUUUAUCCCGGUUGGUGUUUCAAACCGGGAUAAAAUGCCUCUCAGGAUCUUUUUUUCACACUAGCCUUUGCAACCGGGAUAAAAGGUCCCGGUUGGUGAACCCCCCACAGUGACAGAGCUUUAAUCCGGGUUGGUAAACCUUUUAUCCCGGGCCAACUUUAAACCGGGACAAAAGGGGACGCAUCAAAAGCCAAUUCUCUACUAGUGGUUGAGCUGCAGGUGCUAAUGGCUAGGACUGCAAAAGGGUUGGACAACUUUGAGACACUUGAGAAGGCUUCCAAGGACCUUCUGUAUGAGGAAUCCAAUGGAUGUGAUAAGGAGUUCACAGUGUUACGUGCGGUCCUUGAGCUGAUGAAACUGAAGGCCAUCCACGGGUGGUCGGACGCGUUUUGGGUGAUGAGCAAGCUGCGGCUCACAUGCCAAAGGAGUCUUGACCGAGUGGUCAAGACGUCCGAGCGGCACCUCCUAGGUCCAGGUUCAAUCCCGGGUGGGAGCGAAUUUACGACUAAUUAUUCAUUCAGUGGGAGGUGACGUCCCCGUCGACAGCGAGGUGACUUCGUGAAUCUCAAGAUCAAGCAGGUCCAGCCUUUCGAAGGCGCUCAUGAGGGUAGAGUGUGUGUGCGUGUGUUCAUAGGGGUCAUGACUCGUACGUGUUUGUGAGUGUCUGCACUUACUUUGAAAAAAAAAAGCUGCUAGCCAGAGACAGCCGUUCUCCAUCAGAAACAAUCAAGCAUGAUUUGUUGCUAACUACUACUAACUCAUCAGACAACAGUCUAAAAACUCAUCAGACAACCUCUGUCGCUCAAUGAUAUUUCAUCACGAACAAGUAUCUUCAAAAGUCACAGAAUGUGACACAACAGCAUACCAGAAGGGCAUCAGUAUCGUGUCAGUAACCGCUACCAGCGCAAGCGAACACGGUAAGCGCUAUCAUGAACCAAAAGUAAUAUGACUCCUAAAAGUAAAACUAUUCGCUCUUCCAGUUUUCCACGUUCCAUUAUAAACGACUACUCUGGAAUUGGCAGUAGUGGUAGGACUGCUAGUCAACUUGAUGACUGACAAAACACUUCAGCAAAUCAGCCAUACGUCUCCACACGACUACAACCGCUUUGUCUUUCAGUACAUUCAAACCUCUCCACGACCACACCAUCAGUACUCAAAGCUAGUUCUGGCCCUUCUUUCCUGGAUUUGUCGGCGAGGAAGCUACGAGCAGUAAAACAACUCAGAGUCAGUUUUAGAACCGUUCCAGAAGUAAAGAAAACUAGUAGAUCCCCCUAAACAGCAUUCAGAAGAAUUUCAAAUAGAUAUGAUAGAACAAUCAAAGAAGCCUCUGUACUGUAUGCACCAACAAAAUUUAGUGGACUGCUCCUAGAAUGCAUAUGUGCACAUAAGUGACACCAGGAUUUCAUUGGUUUGUACCCAUGAAAAUAAACGACCCAUGCUCUGAUCCUACUACCAUCACCCAUAUAUGUUAAGGAAAUGAGAAAUUAAUGAUACAUAUUCACACGUGAAAAGAAUAAUUCACAACAUACAACAUGAAAAAGAAGUUAAUAGAAAAAACAUUAAUAUUAAAGUGGAAAAUAUGGUCACAACAGCUUAUGAAGGCAUCUCGAUUCUCCUAUACUCCUAACAGAGAAAGCCUAUUACCAGGUAAAGCUUUCCUGGUGCAUUGGAGAUGAAAGCUGGCACCAUGGAAUAAAACCUUAUAGGAAUGCUAUAGUAGAUGGAGUUUGUAUGACUUUAGUAGCACAACAAGCAAAAACAAUAAAAAAUAAAUAUCAUCCAUAGAAGCUAAAUUGGCAGCGGGUCUUUCAUAUGAGAUCAAGCACAGCAAAUAAUCCUCAUUAUCAAUUUUAAAUCAACAGGAAAGUCAAAGAACGGGCGUUACUUACGUCCAUGAAAAAAGAUGUAUGAGGACGCACUCAGCUCCCUAACACCCAUUCUGGCAAGAAUUCCUCUGUCUGCGGCUGUUGAUAGCAUUACAGUGAGAUCAACAUGAGGGAGUGGAGUCUCAGGACAGAUUCCAUCAAACACUAUAAGCAAAGAUCCACUUUUAUCAUCUCCAGGUUCUUCAAUGUCCAAUAGAGACCAGCCCUUCAACCUUCGUGUCACAGAGGUACCCAACAGUUCAAGUAUCUCUUUCUGCAUCAGAUCUGAUUUUCUUUGGAGUUCCUUAAUAGCAACAUAUAGCUUCUUUGGUUUGAGGACCUGAUAAAUGACCCCCUUUUAUCCCGGUUGGUAUUACAAACCGGGAUAAAAGGCUCUCGACCCUUUUAUCCCGGUUGGGUCUUUUAUCCCGGGCCUUGUUUAGUUCGCAAAAUUGGGAGGUGCCAAAUUACUGUUACAGCACUGUAGCACACUGUAGCGUUUUGUUUGUAUUUGUGAAUUAUUAUCCAAAUAUUGACUAAUUAGGCUCAAAAGAUUCGUCUCGCAAAGUACAACAAAACUGUGUAAUUAGUUUUUAAUUUCAUCUACAUUUAGUACUCCAUGCAUGUAUCGCAAGUUUGAUGUGAUGGGGAAUCUUCUUUUUGCAUAGUGUCAAAGUUGGGAGUUGGGGGUGAAGUAAACAAGGGGCCGGUUGGUGUUUCAAACCGGGAUAAAAUGGCUCUCAGAAUCUUUUUUUCACACUAGCCUUUGCAACCGGGAUAAAAGGUCCCAGUUGGUGAGCCCCCCACAGUGACAGAGCUUUAGUCCCGGUUGGUAAAUAUUUUAUCCCGGGUCAACUUUAAACCGGGACAAAAGAAAACGCAUCGAAAGCCAAUUCUCUACUUAGUGCUGUGGCUGAUGGGAGCUGUGGAUGCGGUGUGCUAGUGCUAGCUUUAGCCGUGGUGUUGCUGGUGUCUCGGAUUUUGCACGGAGAGGGAGUGGCCGUGUAUGGCGCGGGCUUUAUAGCGCGCGGCCAGCAGAGGGCGGUGUGGCGGCACGCCACGCGGCGAGGCCGGGAGCGUGCACCGGCUGCGGCGCUGCGUGCAUGACGCCCCCGCGGCACGGGCUCCGGGCGGGCACAGUCAGCACUCGGCAGCCGCGCGGCGCCCCACUCCACCGGCCGCGCGCCGCUGACGGGUGCCGUGGCCCCGUGGCAGUGGCCGCAACGGCCUCGCGCCCCGGUGGCGCCAAGCGUGCGCGCGCGACGUGGAGGUGAGGGCCACACAACCUCGGGCAGUCGGGCGCGCGCAGUGGGGACUGGGGACGAGGGAGGGGAGGGCCACAGCCGGGCGCGAGCGACGCUGAUGCAAUGCAGCAAGAAAGCAGGAAGAUGAUAUCUCAGCGAUUUUCUUGGGAUUGAUUCGAUUUCAAUCGUGCGUCCGGGCGGCAAAGUGGGAUUCGGGGACGCGACGAUUGUCUGGGCCAAGCAAAAAGCACAUGCACCACAGCAGUGGCAUGAGUUACAGCAAAGGCAAUUGGGUGGAGAAAUCCACGAUACCUAGAUGCAAACGGUCCUUUUCGCCAUUGCAAGUUCAGAGUCAGUUUAUUUUUUUAAUGCGCAAGCCAUUUUAUAAUCUGAUAUGCCUUUUAGGGUUGGGCUAGGAUUUGUUCCGUAAAAGAUGUGUUAGGUCUUUCUUAUGCCUCAGUCACUUUUCAUGAAUUUGCAAUUUUGCAUACUCAUCUGAAAGUUUCCGAGGUAAAAGUAGAAAAUGUUUCUGCUUCACGGUAAAAAUAAUAAAUUUUAAAUAGAAAAUUCUUAUGGUUCGUUCUAUAUAAUAUAGCUUACGCAAAACAACACUAUAAGAAAUCUGUUAAUCUAUAAUAAUUUUUUCUCGUGACGUUUUCACUCCCUAACGUAUCAAGGAUCGACUGCAUCACCUCCUAACGUAUCAAGGAUCAACUACGUCACCCCCUCAAUUAUAAAAUCGGGUUUUUAAUCUCCCUCACUUUUUCAAAACCGUUUAAAAGACCCUAAAGUGGUUUUGCCACUCUAGCACGUUGAUGUACUGUGGACUGAGAUGCUGAUGUGGAUCGCUGACAUCUGAGUUCCCACUAACUUCCAUGGAUCACGCGCCCGUGUGUGCUGGUCCUGUGCAAGCCGCGCCUCCAGCCCUACGACUCCCCACACGGUGCCAUCCUCCCCACGCGGCUCCCCAGGUUCUCCGGCGACCGCCACCUCUACGACGCGCAGGACGAGUCCAUCCAGGUAGAGGCUACGCAGCCUGGCCUCCGAUUCGUCGUCCAACGCUUGCCGCAACUCUAGCAUUACCAGCUGCGGCCGACGAGGCUGCCGGACUUGGGCAGUAUGAUGAACCGCGGCAGGACACCCUCCAACAUAAGCAGCCCCUCGUCCUUUUGCAGUGCUUCAAGAAGCUUGUCCACGGCCGGGUUCUUCACCUUGGUGUGCCCGGCACAACCAUCAUGCCAGUGAAAGUCCUUUGAAGCUGGAGUCAUAAGACCACAGAUAUGUUGGUCCAUCAUCAUACAAGAACACGAGAUGCUCGCAAAAAGUCCCAGGCACUCGAUUUUGAAAAUGUGAUCGAAUCAUGAUCCUCACAUCUCCUGGAAUGGAAGUGUGGAAUCGAGCAACUCUCCGAUGCGCGUAAACGACUAAACACAACACAAACAUUAUUACAAAAAGGAAACUGAAUAAGAAAACACCAACACAGAUGUCGAAUCAAUUGAGUCCAGCUGCCGGCAAGCCGGUCAAAGUGGCAUUGCCUAAACCAUCCCUCGCCAUGAAGAAGGCUUACACAGACAGGAUCAUUAGAAGGUGGGCAACUUGAUCCUGUUCGUGCACUUGCUCUUCAUCGGCAGCGUCCAGUCGAUGAACUCCUUACCCGCACGAUCGAGUGCCCGGCAGGGGCGGAGCUUAGUGUAGUGUAAAGGGGGUCAUGGCCACCCCUGGCUAUUGGAAAUAUCCACUAUAUGAAUAGUAAAUCAGCUAGUGUUCAUUGAUUUUCAGAGCAAAUUAGCAUAGCUGGCCCCCCGGAUUUGUUGCUGAAGCUCCGUCACUGGUGCCCGGGAAAGAUGAAAUGACAAACAUUACUAAGUUAGUCAAAACAAAAUUCUUAAUGCAUAUGAGAAUCUGCCAAGAAAGAUGACUCGUGUUUAAACCUUCAAAGGCCCCUACUACAUUUUUCAUAACAGGGUAUAUCUCCAAAUAAAUCAUUAACCAAAUUUGGAAUACGCAAAUAAAUCAUGUUCGUAAAUGGAAUAAGUAAUCAGAUAUCUGGCUGGCUUCCUCAUGCGGAUAGUAUCUUGUAGAGAUGUAACUGACUUGCGUCAUAAUUAACCAGAAGCUGUUUGGAACAGAUUCAAGAAUCUUUAUAAACUAGCCAUCCCCUAAUAAAAUGUCUGCAUAAUAACAAAAUGAAUAAGCCAUCAUAUUCGAGGAUGAGCAUUGCUGUGAAUCCAAUAUAGGAGAGCAUUGUUGUGAAUCCAAUAUAGGAUAUUAGAAAUCAUGGUUACUUUCCUCUAUAGAUGUAUCCCUAUUUUUAAAAAAAAUACUAAUAAUUCGGGAAAAUGGUAGAAUGGCAUGGAAUGAUAAAUCACUAUGCCAAAAAGGUUGAUACCAACGAGAUGUUCCAAACCAUGUAAUAUUUAAAUUUUUUUACUAUCCCCUCUCCAGAAAAAUUGUGAUAUGAUUGUGUCCAUUUGGCAGUGUGUUCCUUCAUAGAACUAAGAACAUGCCCAUUAGAUAAAUGGGCAUCCUACUUAUUUAUUUACCUUAUUUUAGGAAUGAAUAAUAUUCAACAUAUAUUCACUUACUCUCAUAUUUUAUAGGGCAUGCUAGAAUCUGAAAAGGUCAAUCUUUAUGAACUUUAGCUAAUAAUUAGUCAAUGUUUAUACAUCUUUAGUGUACAAAAGUUAUAUCAAUAAAUUCAUAUUUUAAAUAUCUUGUGAUAUGACAUUGAUUUUUAUUAUCAGGUAAUAUAUGUAAGAGAAGUUAUAUUCAAUAAUGAAGACAUCUCCAAAUCCUAGUACGCUCUACAAAAAGAAACGCAGAGUGCAUUUGGUGAAGUAGAAUAAAAAAAGACCAUAGUGGCAACAUGAAUGCAAUGUUAUAACUUAAGUUUGUUUAUCCUAAGUUUGAUCAAGUCUAUAGAGUUUUUCGAACUAAACAAGUCUAUCGGGUAUAUUAACUUAUGCUACAUCAAAUAAGUAAACUAUAAAAAUAUAUUUCAAAAUUUCAUAAUGGAUCUAAUAUAUAUGGUGCUCAUUUGAACUCAUAACAAAAAUUAUAUCGGGCAGUAGUCUGUUUUUUUUAAUCAGUUCUCCUGUGGAGCACUUUAAGUUUAUGUUUAAGUUUUCCCCUUUUCAAAGAGAUGGCAAUGUGUUCAGAAGCAUACAUGUUCUUGGGGUGUGGCACGCCUAAUUAAGUACAAUUCAAAGACAGAAACCAUUAAAUGAUCACGUUUUAUGAUAAAAUAAAAAUUACACACAUAAAUUCGAAAGCACUACCUCAGCAAUUGUAACCCCUGAUACUUUCAUGUCCAUGCGUGUAGUACAAAUUGACACAGUCUGGACAUAGUAUCUUCGUAAUAUGAGGAAAACAAACACUCUAAUUAAUAGAGAUACAAUUGAGCGUACCUUUGUCCAGAGAAGAAAUCGGUGUGCCCAAGAGCUUGGAGGACGCUCUCAACCCUCUGUUGGCCGCGUAGACACUCCACAUACCACGGUCCGUACACGGAUGCAUGCGAUGACCAAACUACAAGGAGCUAUGAGAGAGAGGCGACAAUUCACUUCCAAUAAAUAAGAGUAUAUAAGUAGUAAAAAGUAGGUGCCGACGUACAAACACUGAAGAAAAAUUAGUUUCAGUUUAUUGCAUCAUGAGAUCCGAAGUACAGACCUAACUCGAUGUCUUUUACUGCUUGCAUAGGCUAGCCUGCAUGAACUCUAGCUUAGUCCUGGGACAAAAACCAUACUUAACUGCCUCAUAAGCUACACGAGAAUACAUCAUAAUAUAGGAAGCCUAGCUACCUAAAACCGAUCGAAUUAUUAGCAAGCAGCAGCGGCGGCACUCCAAUUCCGGUGUGAUAUCAGUAAUAGUGAGCCACCACGCGCACCAGAUCGCAUAACAUACACCAGUUUCAUCAGACGGUGUCUCUUUAUCAGGCAGCAGGAGCGCAGUCAUAGUCGUCAUCGUCGUCGUCGUCUGUCUCCGGCAUCCUUCCUCGCGUGCUGCGCCACCCAUCGCAAGGCGCGGCGUAAACGGCGCCCGAGGAGGACGCAAUGCUGCCGCCUUGGACGAGGAAGCUUACCGCCUCCGCCGACACUGGUACCAUGGCAGUUUUUAAGUGUGCGUGCAAGCGAGCUGCAAGUUACUACCAAAUUAAUUGAUGCCGCGCGCAGCAAGCUCUUGCUUGCUCGAGGUAGAAGAAGCUGCUACUGUGGCUGAUGGGAGCUGUGGAUGCGGUGGGUCUGCUAGUGCUUGCUUAGCUGUGGUGUUGCUGGUGUCUGUGAUUUUGCACGGAG